ACGUGGAUUUACAACUGCACAACUUGAAGAUUUUAGACAGUGUUUCUUACAAAUCCAAAAGAUUCCUUGUCCAAUGAGGCUGUACAUCAAACCCGGAGUAUUAACCUACACCCUCAGGAAUACUCAAGAGGUAAUGAUAAGCCGUGAUAGGAAAGAUGUUCCAACUUAAUGGAAGAGAGCCCGUGAGAUGCACUGCAGCAUCAUCAUGAAUUCAAAUAUGCCAUCUCCUCACUGCCUCAAGUUUCUUCACUGCCUCAUGUUUCUUCAGUUGAGCUUGGCUUUUUGUUCACUCCUAGGACUUGAAGGACACUGAGGAUGGGGGCCGAGCCUUGGUAUGAAAGAUGCACCGAUUUGACUGCUGGGAGCCUGUGAGAUGCUGCCUCGUGGUAUGAAAGAUGCACCGAUUUGACUGAUGGGAGCCUGUGAGAUGCUGCCUCGACAUGAUUUCAACUACGUCAUCUCGUCACCGUCUCAAGCUAAUUCAGUUCAACUGCUGUCUCGUCAUGAUUUCAAAUACGUAAUCUCGUCACCGUCUCAAGCUAAUUCAGUUCAACGUUGUGAUUCAUUCAAUACUAAGAUGUUAAGGUACGUCUCACGUAGUGCGUUUUACCAAUUGUACAAAGGUCUAUUUACAUGGACGCUUAUAAAACCACUCACACAUCAGUCUUUACUGUUUACAAAUUGGUAACCAAAGUUGUUAUUUAUUUCAAAAGCCUUGAGUUUGCUUUAAAGCAAAGUGUAUUGUGUAAACAGAUCUUUACCAUGUACAGUCCGAUGUGGCUGUUUUUGUUAUGAAGUGAAUACCUUUGCUGAUUAAUGUCAAGUACAUUUUGCAAUUCCCUUGAAUCAUCAGGCCUGAUACUUUGCGGAGACAAAUUACGCAGCAAUUGCCUCCAUGCACACGGCCUUGGUCAUUGCCUCGGUGCCCAUUGAAAUGUUCCGCUACUAAUUCAAACUUCCCUGAUGCCUUGCCCUUACAAGAAUGAAACAUCAGGCCUGAAUCAUUGGUUAGGAAAUCAAAGCGCCAAACUAGCUGUGACUAAACAUACUUCACUGAAUACAAAGCAAUGCAGUGAAAAUCAUGCAAUCUUGUUGUACGUAUGUCAAAUUAUCACUACUUUUACACAGGUCAGAGUUAAAAAAAAACGUUUUAAAUACUUAGUUUGAUACUUAUAUGUGGUUAAUUUGAUGAAUUGGUAUCACGCGUGAUGAUAUUUAUCUGCAAAACAUUGUCCGAAGUGAGCAUUGCCUUCAUUUUAAACAUAAUUCAAAUAUAUGGAAACUCAGAGGGAACAUCUGCAUUUGCAUUAAGUUUAUUGUUACGUACUGUACUGCAUCUUUAAAUCUUUUUUUUCAUGAAAAUUAGAUAUCGCAAAUCCAUGAGAACCCCAAAAUACAUACUUGUCUUAUUUGUUUUAUGUUUCUUUGAUGUAUUUAAAUUGGAAACUUGGCAAUGAAAAUGGUCAUUUUAAGCCUCCAUACAAUUUUCGGGUUUAUUUUUGACAACUUUCAAAGUCUGAUUCCCCGUCUCUUAGUGCUUAUACAGCACUAUUUCUCAGUGUAGGUGCCAGACUAAUUUCUUCUAAACUUGUUUGGAUUAUUCCUACAUGACACACUUAGCAGAUGCUUUAUCAAGGUUUAUUGUGUGUAAAUGGCCCUUUUUAAACGAGCUUAUUUGAUAAGACAGCUUCGGAAUUCACAGUUAAGCUGCGCAUACCAUUUUGUAUUACUUAAAAUAAGCAAUUUGAAGGUUGGAAGUCACGAACGUGUGUUCUGUGCAAUUGAUGCAAUUGUUGUAAAUAAGAGUAAGCACCUACAAUUAUAUAUGCUAAGUGUAGUUAUAGAGUCAUUAUAAGCAAUUGUUUAUUAAAAACGACACUUUCCUGUGGAUUUGUUUGUCAUAAGAAUGCGUAUUUCAUGUAGAAUGUUAAUAAGACACUCUCGAGUGUAUUCCGCACUGUUUAAAGGGUGUUUUGAAGGUUUUGACUCUCAAGUUUUGUAAUUUUCAGUGAUUUUUAGAGUUUUUUUAGGCAAAAAAAAAAUUU